AUUGCUGCAGAUGAAAGCCAGACCAAUCAUCAAUAUUUGAGGUUCAUAAGAAUGCAGAUAGAUAUUAAGUUGAUGAUGAAAAUGAGAAGUUAUACUGGAACUAAACCAAAAAAGAGACAGGCAAGGAGGGGGAAAAUCAUAAGCUAAGAGUGAAAAAUUUGACACACACAAAAAUAAAUGAAUUCAUUUACAAGUGUGAUAUGUUGUAAA
rnacentral:misc_RNA from 1 species